rfam:Brachyspira sp. CAG:700 genomic scaffold, scf594
AUUAAUCAAUAGGGGAGCUUUAAAAGGCUGAGAGGAAAUAAAAUAUUUCGACCCUUAUAACCUGUUUGGGUAAUGCCAGCGUAGGGAAUCACUCUCAUAUUAUA